UAGUCGAUCCUAAGAGAUGGGGAAUCCUUGUAUCAAGGGUGCACUCUACAUAAACAUCAAAAGAGAAUUGGGUUAAUAUUCUCGAACCAGGACAUGGUGGUGGACGACAAUGUUAGGAAAUAUGGAGAUGUCAUCGGGGGCCUGGGAAGAGUUAUCUUUUCUUUUUAACGACUUUCCCACCCUGAAAUCGGUUCAACUGGAGAUAUGGUCCAACAUCUGAAAGAGAACCACACAUCUUGCGGUAUUUGGUGCCCCCUCGAUGACCAUUGAAAAUAUGGAGAACCGAGUACCAUCCAUGCCUGAUUGUA
rnacentral:ncRNA from 1 species